GCUUGUCUCAAAGAUUAAGCCAUGCAUGUCUAAGUAUAAGCACUUAUACCGUGAAACUGCGAAUGGCUCAUUAUAUCAGUUAUUGUUUAUUUGAUAGUUCCUACUACUUGGAUAACCGUAGUAAUUCUAGAGCUAAUACAUGCGUUAAACCCUGACUGCUUGCAGAAAGGGCGUAUUUAUUAGAUACAACCAACCCUUCGGGUCACUGGUGAAUCAUAAUAACUUAUCGAACCGCAUGCUUCGGCGGCGGUGGUUCAUUCAAGUUUCUGCCCUAUCAGCUUUCGAUGGUAGGGUAUUGGCCUACCAUUGCUAUUACGGGUAACGGAGAAUUAGGGUUCGAUUCCGGAGAGGGAGCCUGAGAGAUGGCUACCACAUCCAAGGAAGGCAGCAGG
rnacentral:rRNA from 1 species